rnacentral:rRNA from 1 species
GACGAACGCUGGCGGCGUGCUUAACACAUGCAAGUCGUACGGUAAGGCCCUUUCGGGGGUACACGAGUGGCGAACGGGUGAGUAACACGUGAGUAACCUGCCCACAACUUUGGGAUGACGCUAGGAAACUGGUGCUAAUACUGGAUAUGUGCUCCUGCUGCAUGGUGGGGGUUGGAAAGCUCCGGCGGUUGUGGAUGGACUCGCGGCCUAUCAGCUUGUUGGUGGGGUAGUGGCCUACCAAGGCGGCGACGGGUAGCCGGCCUGAGAGGGUGACCGGCCACAUUGGGACUGAGAUACGGCCCAGACUCCUACGGGAGGCAGCAGUGGGGAAUAUUGCACAAUGGGCGCAAGCCUGAUGCAGCAACGCCGCGUGCGGGAUGACGGCCUUCGGGUUGUAAACCGCCUUCAGCAGGGACGAAGCUUUUUGUGACGGUACCUGCAGAAGAAGCACCGGCUAACUACGUG